AGAGUUUGAUCCUGGCUCAGAAUCAACGCUGGCGGCGCGCUUAACACAUGCAAGUCGAACGAGAAAGGGGAGCAAUCCCUGAGUAAAGUGGCGUACGGGUGAGUAACACGUGGGUAAUCUACCUUUUGGUGGGGAAUAACCCUGGGAAACCGGGGCUAACACCGCAUAAGCCUGAGAAGGGAAAAGAGAAAUCUGCCGAAAGAGGAGCCCGCGGCUGAUUAGCUAGUUGGUGAGGUAAAGGCUCACCAAGGCGAAGAUCGGUAGCCGGCCUGAGAGGGCACACGGCCGCACUGGCACUGAAACACGGGCCAGACUCCUACGGGAGGCAGCAGUGGGGAAUCUUGCACAAUGGGGGAAACCCUGAUGCAGCGACGCCGCGUGAGUGAUGAAGCCCUUCGGGGUGUAAAGCUCUUUCGGCAGGGACGAUAAUGACGGUACCUGAAGAAGAAGCUGCGGCUAACUACGUGCCAGCAGCCGCGGUAAUACGUAGGCAGCGAGCGUUGUUCGGAGUUACUGGGCGUAAAGAGUGCGUAGGCGGUUUUCUAAGUUUGGUGUGAAAUCUCCCGGCUUAACUGGGAGGGUGCGCCGAAGACUGGGGAGCUAGAGUAUGGGAGAGGUAAGCGGAGUUCCUGGUGUAGCGGUGAAAUGCGUAGAUAUCAGGAGGAACACCUGCGGUGUAGACGGCUUACUGGACCAUAACUGACGCUGAGGCACGAAAGCGUGGGUAGCAAACAGGAUUAGAUACCCCGGUAGUCC
rnacentral:rRNA from 1 species